GAUCAUCUGUUAAGACCAUCCAGGGCUGCCUCUCCAGCCCCACUUGUUUUUUGUUUUUUGUUUUUUUUUUUGUUUUUGUUUUUUUUUUUUUAAAGAUAAAUCUGACUGUAUUUUCCAACUGGUUAUGCAUGUGCACCUACUAAGCCUGCCCUACAAACUUGCAUGGUUCUUUUUACUGCUCAGCUUGUUGAACUGGGCCUAUGAUACGGGUGAGGUUGUAUUCCCUGGAAUCUGGAAAGCAGGAUAUAACCUGUGUCAGUUCUGCAGGCUAGGGUGUAAUGAAAACAGGGUGGGAUGAGACUAAGACACCAGGUUUGCUGGGGAGCUGGAGUUCACUCCCAGUUAAACCCAGGUUAAGAUUAUAUGGCCAUUUCUAAGUCAUAUACCAAGGUACCACAGUGGGCUCAAAGGGCCCUGCUGGGGAAGGCUGCCACAGGAGGGUAUAUAUUUAGACACUGAAAUUCUGCAACUGAGGCAAAUCCCGGAGAAGCUGGUUGUUGACUACCAGAAAUUAUUUGAAAGUGAGAAUCUAGUGACACCAGCAGUGCCCUACAUGUUUUGGUUGUAUUAUAGUUGGUUUAUUCAGUUUUCCUUAUAAGUUCUUGAGAUCUAAGGAUAUCUAUGUCUUAUGUCUGACAUUUAGUUAAUGGUUAAAUAAAUCUGGUCAAAUAAACAUGUAUGUUUGUGUGCAUGAGUAUGUGCACCUGUUGAGACCUGAGGGUCUCUAUCAGAUCUUGUAGAACUGAAGUUACAGGACUUGUGAGCUGUCAUCUGUGUGCUGGAAACUGAACCCAUGGUUCUCUACAAAAUCAAUAACUUGCUGAUCCAUUUCCUUAGUCAUUUAUUUUAUGUGGUUUUGUUUCAUGUCUUUUGAGAUCAAGUUUUUCUGUAUAUUCUAAGAUGGCCUUGAACUGGGAUUGCUCCCAUGUGUUACCAUGUCUGGGUUUAUUUGAUUGCUGAGGCUUCACAAUGUACACGGUUAUUAAAACACAUAAAUGUUGUGUUUCCAUUAGUGUUCUUGUACAUAACCUCUUUUAACACCAGAGAUUAGGUAUUUAGACCUGGGAUGAUAGCAAGGAUCUCUUUGUUGCCCCCUUGCUGAUUUCCUUGGUGAAGGACGUAAGCAAGCUUCUUGCAAACCUGGAGACACACUCAGCACCAUUUUAUGAAAUGAAUGCUCUCCCUAUUGUACAAGGAGACCAGGUAUAUUUUACUGUGGUUAGGUCUGACCAGGCCCCAGACUUUAAUACGAUGUUUUUCCUCUAUAGUUUUACCUACUGACAGAUGGAAAGAUGGGAUUUUACUGAAAUUAUUAUAUGCAUUUACUAAUCAUGUCAACUAGUUGGUAUCUCAAUAUCUUACAAAUGAGAAAAUAAAUUUGCUUCCUAGGUGAGAUUUUUUUGUGACAUUAUUCAAAGGUUAACAUUGUAAUCAUUCUUUUAAAAUUGUUUGGGGACCUGGCAUGAUGCUUUUAUUGGAAAGGCUCUGGGGUUGGGUUCCUAAUAUCACACGGUGCUUCACAGCCAUCUAUAGUUCCCGUUUCCAGGAGAUCUCGCACCCUCUUUGAUCUCUCAGCAUGAAUGUGGUACAUAUACAUUCAUCCAGGGAAAGCACUCAUAAAAUAAUUAACUCUGAAAAAAAAAUUUGGGGGACCUUGUGAUGGCUCCGUGAUUAAAGGUGCUUGCAAAAAAGGUGGCGAUCCCUUAUGUAAGUGUAGAGGAAAGAACCAAAAAAAUUAAAAAACAGUUAUUUAUGCCAUUUUUACAUGAAUUCUCUAUAGGGUCAGGUUGUAUGUGUCACCCAGUGACUAUGGUAGUUAGAGGACAGCUUGUAGGAGUUAGUUUUCUCUUUGUACCCGUUGGGCCCAGACAUUGAACUUGCAUUGCCAGGCUUGGUAGCAAGCAUCUUACCUGCUGAGCUAUCUUGCCAAUUCAAAAUAGCAGUGCUAUUAAAUCAUGUAACAUUCACAUUUCUCCUGUUUGCUUUAUGCAAAAGUUGGUGAUGAGGGGUUUGGAUUAGUGCCUUCAGGUAGACUCUAGGAGUUUGUGACUGCUAGACAAGUGCGCUGCCUUGACACUGCUUGAGCAUGUAUGCUCUGAGACAGGCGUGAAACUCUAGAGACAUUUGCCCAUCUUUGCUUCCCAAGUAUUUUUUGUUUGCCAUCUAGUUUUUACCAGAUAUUUUCUUAUAAUUUUGUAAUUAUUGUUACUAGUUAUUUUUUAGCCAUAUGAAUGUCCAUAUCAGGUCCCGGAGGAUUAAGUAAGUACUUUUUGCACAAUCUGAGAAGAAUCAGUCUUGGUGGUAUGGGUUGUAGUUUGUGUUUUUAUAGCCCUGGCCCUGAUGGGUGCUGCAGAGCUCAUUGUCCAGUUGGUGUCAGUAGAAGAUACCUGACAUUGAUGCCUGUCUUCUACACAAUCAAUAGACACUGUGUGUGUGUGUGUGUGUGCGCGCGUGCGCGCGCAUAGUCACCCACACAGAGACAAGAGGGCCAACAAAAUGGCUCAGCAGUAAACUGCUGCCAAAUCUGAUAACCUGAAUUGGGUCCCCAGAGUCCUACAUGGUAGGAGAAAACCAACCCUCACAAGCACUCUGGUUCACCCACACUCACUCAGUUCCCCC
rnacentral:lncRNA from 1 species